rnacentral:piRNA from 1 species
CCCACCGGGGAGGCACAUAGUAGG